GGCCAUUUGGUCUAGUGGUUAAGGCAUCUGACUAAAAAUCAGGAAACCAUGAGUUCUAAUCCCUUUUUAGGCA
rnacentral:tRNA from 1 species